CCACGGGCGGCUGCAGUGGGGAAUAUUGGACAAUGGGCGAAAGCCUGAUCCAGCCAUGCCGCGUGUGUGAAGAAGGCCUUCGGGUUGUAAAGCACUUUCAGUGGGGAAGAAAGCCUUGGGGCUAAUACCCUCGAGGAAGGACAUCACCCACAGAAGAAGCACCGGCUAACUCCGUGCCAGCAGCCGCGGUAAUACGGAGGGUGCGAGCGUUAAUCGGAAUUACUGGGCGUAAAGCGCGCGUAGGCGGUCUGAUAAGCCGGUUGUGAAAGCCCCGGGCUCAACCUGGGAACGGCAUCCGGAACUGUCAGGCUAGAGUGCAGGAGAGGAAGGUAGAAUUCCCGGUGUAGCGGUGAAAUGCGUAGAGAUCGGGAGGAAUACCAGUGGCGAAGGCGGCCUUCUGGACUGACACUGACGCUGAGGUGCGAAAGCGUGGGUAGCAAACAGGAUUAGAUACCCUAGUAGUC
rnacentral:rRNA from 1 species